rnacentral:rRNA from 1 species
GCCCCGUGAUAAAGCCGGAAGGAAAGGUGUGGAUUGACGUCAAAGUCCCUCAUUGGCCCUUACGGGUUGGGCUACCACACGUGCUACAAUGGUGGGUGACAGAGGGUUCAUCCCUAAAAAGCCAUCUCAGUUCGGAUUGUCGUCUGCAACUCGACGGCAUGAAGUCGGAAUCGCUAGUAAUCGCGCAUCAGCUCGGCGCGGUGAAUACGUUCCCGGGCCUUGUACACACCGCCCGUCACACCAUGGGAGUUGGGUUGACCCGAAGGUGGUGCGCCGACCUCGCAAGAGGGGGCAGCCAACCACGGUCAGUUCAGCGACUGGGGUGAAGUCGUAACAAGGUAACCAAGUCGUAACCAAGGUAACCAAGUCGUAACCAAGGUAACC